rnacentral:rRNA from 1 species
CCUACGGGAGGCAGCAGUGAGGAAUAUUGGUCAAUGGGCGCGAGCCUGAACCAGCCAAGUCGCGUGAAGGAUGACUGCCCUACGGGUUGUAAACUUCUUUUAUAAAGGAAUAAAGUGAGGCACGUGUGCCUUUCUGUAUGUACUUUAUGAAUAAGGAUCGGCUAACUCCGUGCCAGCAGCCGCGGUAAUACGGAGGAUCCGAGCGUUAUCCGGAUUUCUUGGGUUUAAAGGGAGCGUAGGUGGGUGGUUAAGUCAGUUGUGAAAGUUUGCGGCUCAACCGUAAAAUUGCAAUUGAUACUGGCAGCCUUGAGUACAGUUGAGGUAGGCGGAAUUCGUGGUGUAGCGGUGAAAUGCUUAGAUAUCACGAAGAACCCCGAUUGCGAAGGCAGCUUACUAAACUGCAACUGACAUUGAUGCACGAAAGUGUGGGUAUCAAACAGGAUUAGAUACCCCUGUAGUC